AUUGAACGCUGGCGGCAGGCUUAACACAUGCAAGUCGAGCGGAGAUGAGGUGCCUGCACCUUAUCUUAGCGGCGGACGGGUGAGUAAUGCUUAGGAAUCUGCCUAUUAGUGGGGGACAACAUUCCGAAAGGAAUGCUAAUACCGCAUACGUCCUACGGGAGAAAGCAGGGGAUCUUCGGACCUUGCGCUAAUAGAUGAGCCUAAGUCGGAUUAGCUAGUUGGUGGGGUAAAGGCCUACCAAGGCGACGACCUGUAGCGGGUCUGAGAGGAUGAUCCGCCACACUGGGACUGAGACACGGCCCAGACUCCUACGGGAGGCAGCAGUGGGGAAUAUUGGACAAUGGGGGGAACCCUGAUCCAGCCAUGCCGCGUGUGUGAAGAAGGCCUUAUGGUUGUAAAGCACUUUAAGCGAGGAGGAGGCUACUGAGACUAAUACUCUUGGAUAGUGGACGUUACUCGCAGAAUAAGCACCGGCUAACUCUGUGCCAGCAGCCGCCGUAA
rnacentral:rRNA from 1 species